GACUACCUUGGACAGCUUAUAUCUUUCGAGAACAAACUAUAUUACGUUGGAUUUCAUGAUCAAAAUGGGAAGAUUAAUGUCACAGAGGUAUACAAGCAUUGCUGUGAGCUCGGAUUUCGACUUUUUGAGCCCCAAAUUCCCUAUGAAGUGACUAUUGUCUCACAAUUAGUCACAACACAGUUUCAUGUUUUGGUGGGCCAGACGGAGUCGAUAAACCACACGCACGAGGUGUGGUGCAACAGCCGCACCCUUGUGCCCGACAAAUACUAUAUGUCCGAUUCCGAUCUGUGGCUGAAAUUCCCCUGCCAGACGUCCAUCAUCGGAGUCACCGUAACGUAUCAAGCAAUUAACGUGAUAACCAUCCCGGACAAGAGCAUCCAUGAUGUAUACAUCAAUCCGCAGAAAUAUGAUU